UUUGCUAUAUGCAGAUAUGCAUUGUAGUCGUUUGAUGUAAGAAGUAAUCAGUAUCAGUAGAAGUAAUCAGUAUAUAACAAAGUGGAAAACUGCAUUUCUCACAUUUGUGUGAAAACUUGUGAAGUGACAGCGACAAAAUUGAGCAUCACAAAGAAGAAGGUUUCAAGUUUCAGCGCCAUACAAUGUUCAGCUACGACACAGCAUUCUACAGCCAGACAACCUUCAACAGCAGGACACAGUAACUCAAGGUAUUAAGGAAAUCCUAAGAAACCAAAAGGUGCUGAUGACAAGGAUGGAUGACAUUGAGAAAACCCUCAAAGAAAAUGUUAUUGAUAAAGGUCUUCUAUUGGCUCAAACACACACGCUGCGCGAAUGUAAGGUGGUUUUAGCUAAAGUCCAUCACUCCAUUGGACGAUUGGUAGGAG